rnacentral:rRNA from 1 species
UGGCGGCAUGCAUUACACAUGCAGUCGAGCGGUAACAGGGAGCUUGCUCCGCUGACGAGUGGCGAACGGGUGAGUAAUAUAUCGGAACGUACCCAAGAGUGGGGGAUAACGUAGCGAAAGUUACGCUAAUACCGCAUACGAUCCAAGGAUGAAAGCAGGGGACCGCAAGGCCUUGUGCUCCUGGAGCGGCCGAUAUCUGAUUAGCUAGUUGGUAGGGUAAAGGCCUACCAAGGCAUCGAUCAAUAGCUGGUCUGAGAGGACGACCAGCCACACUGGAACUGAGACACGGUCCAGACUCCUACGGGAGGCAGCAGUGGGGAAUUUUGGACAAUGGGCGCGAGCCUGAUCCAGCAAUGCCGCGUGAGUGAAGAAGGCCUUCGGGUUGUAAAGCUCUUUUGUCAGGGAAGAAACGGGUGUGGCUAAUAUCUGCAUGUAAUGACGGUACCUGAAGAAUAAGCACCGGCUAACUACGUGCCAGCAGCCGCGGUAAUACGUAUGGUGCAAGCGUUAAUCGGAAUUACUGGGCGUGAAGCGUGCGCAGGCGGUUUUGUAAGUCUGUUGUGAAAUCCCCGGGCUUAACCUGGGAAUGGCAAUGGAGACUGCAAUGCUAGAGUUUGGCACAGGGGAGUAGAAUUCCACGUGUAGCAUUGAAAUGCGUAGAGAUGUGGAGGAACACCGAUGGCGAAGGCAGCCCCCUGGGUCAAAACUGACGCUCAUGCACGAAAGCGUGGGGAGCAAACAGGAUUAGAUACCCUGGUAGUCCACGCCCUAAACGAUGUCUACAAUUUGUCGGGUCUUAAUUGACUUGGUAACGCAGCUAACGCGUGAAGUAGACGCCUGGGGAGUACGGUCGCCAGAUUAAAACUCAAAGGACUUGACGG